UACGUAGGGGGCAAGCGUUGUCCGGAGUUACUGGGCGUAAAGGGCCCGCAGGCGGUCCGAGAAGUUUGCCGUGACAGUGCCCGGCUCAACUGGGCAAGGAUGGUGAAAACUGACGGACUUGAGAGCGAGAGAGGGAUGAGGAAUUCCGCGUGGAGUGGUGAAAUGCGUAGAGAUGCGGAGGAACACCGAUGGCGAAGGCAGCAUCCUGGCUCGUAUCUGACGCUCAGGGGCGAAAGCUAGGGGAGCGAACGGG
rnacentral:rRNA from 1 species